CUGCCCUGGGCAAAGGAUUCUCUUGGAGCUCUUUGCCUGUUACAGAGGUGGGAAGAAAGGCCGAGGAGGGAGAGGGCUGUGCAGCCAGGCUGGAGUGAGUCCGAUGGGGGAGAUUUACCACUCAUGGUGCUGUCAGAUUUGGGUCACAGACUAGUGAAGGGAGGGUGGAGAAAGCAGGAGCUGGGCUCAGAAAAGGGCUGUUUCCCGCAAAAUCUGCUUCCCCCACCUCAUGCUGUGGCAGGGGUUAGAAAGGGAGACUGCCUGGACGCCCUGCUGGGUUGCUGUGGAAGUGUGCGGGAGUCUGUUUUUUCUUUUUGUUUUCUCCAGCCCAUCCUUCCGGAAAUCACGAAUGUCCCGUGCCCAGAGCUUCCCUGACAACAGACAGGAAUACUCAGAUCGGGAAACUCAGCUUUAUGACAAAGGGGUCAAAGGUGGAACCUACCCCCGGCGCUACCACGUGUCUGUGCACCACAAGGACUACAGUGAUGGCAGAAGAACAUUUCCCCGAAUACGGCGUCAUCAAGGCAACUUGUUCACCCUGGUGCCCUCCAGCCGCUCC
rnacentral:sRNA from 1 species